rnacentral:rRNA from 1 species
GAUGAACGCUGGCGGCGUGCCUAAUACAUGCAAGUCGAGCGAACGGACGAGAAGCUUGCUUCCCUGAUGUUAGCGGCGGACGGGUGAGUAACACGUGGAUAACCUACCUAUAAGACUGGGAUAACUUCGGGAAACCGUAGCUAAUACCGGAUAAUAUGUUGAACCGCAGGGUUCAAAAGUGAAAGACGGUCUUGCUGUCACUUAUAGAUGGAUCCGCGCUGCAUUAGCUAGUUGGUAAGGUAACGGCUUACCAAGGCAACGAUGCAUAGCCGACCUGAGAGGAUGAUCGGCCACACUGGAACUGAGACACGGUCCAGACUCCUACGGGAGGCAGCAGUAGGGAAUCUUCCACAAUGGGCGCAAGCCUGACCGAGCCACGCCGCGUGAGUGAUGAAGGUCUUCGGAUCGUAAAACUCUGUUAUUAGGGAAGAACAUCUGUGUAAGUAACUGUGCACAUCUUGACGGUACCUAAUCAGUAAGCCCCGGCUAACUACGUG